CAGCCGCCACGGGAAUACGAAGGGGGCUAGCGUUGUUCGGAUUUACUGGGCGUAAAGCGCACGUAGGCGGACUUUUAAGUCAGGGGUGAAAUCCCGGGGCUCAACCCCGGAACUGCCUUUGAUACUGGAAGUCUUGAGUAUGGUAGAGGUGAGUGGAAUUCCGAGUGUAGAGGUGAAAUUCGUAGAUAUUCGGGGGAACACCAGUGGCGAAGGCGGCUCAUUGGACCAUUACUGACGCUGAGGUGCGAAAGCGUGGGGAGCAAACAGGAUUAGAUACCCGAGUAGUCCCUGUCUCUUAUAC
rnacentral:rRNA from 1 species